UACAGAGGUGGCAAGCGUUGUUCGGAAUUAUUGGGCGUAAAGCGCGCGCAGGCGGUCCUUUAAGUCUGAUGUGAAAGCCCACGGCUCAACCGUGGAGGGUCAUUGGAAACUGGGGGACUUGAGUACAGAAGAGAAGAGUGGAAUUCCACGUGUAGCGGUGAAAUGCGUAGAGAUGUGGAGGAACACCAGUGGCGAAGGCGACUCUGUGGUCUGUAACUGACGCUGAGGCGCGAAAGCGUGGGGAGCAAACAGG
rnacentral:rRNA from 1 species